CUAGCAUAUCAAUAAGCGGAGGAAAAGAAACUAACAAGGAUUCCCUUAGUAACUGCGAGUGAAGAGGGAAGAGCUCAAAUUUAAAAUCUGGCAGUGUUGACUGUCCGAGUUGUAAAUUAGAGAAGUGUUAUUAUGCUAAACCCUGUGCAAAAGCUUCUUGGAACAGAGCAUCAUAGAGGGUGAUAAUCCCGUCUUUGGUACAGGCUGUUGGCUAUUCCAUACACUUUCAAAGAGUCGAGUUGUUUGGGAAUGCAGCUCUAAAUGGGUGGUAAAUUCCAUCUAAAGCUAAAUAUUGGCGAGAGACCGAUAGCGCACAAGUACCGUGAGGGAAAGAUGAAAAGAACUUUGAAAAGAGAGUUAAACAGUACGUGAAAUUGUUGAAAGGGAAACGCUUGAAGUCAGUCAUGUCCUUGGGUAAUCAACCUAACUUUGGUUGGGUGUACUUUCCCUUGAGACAGGUCAGCAUCAGUUUUGACCAUUGGAAAAGGGGUCUGGAAAGGUAGCAUCUUUCGGGAUGUGUUAUAGUCUAGACUCAAAUACAGUGAUUGGGACUGAGGAACUCAGCGUGACCGGGCUUGGGCUUGGUUUGGAGGCUUCGGCCUUACAUACGCGCUUUGGAUGCUGGCAUAAUGGCUUUAAUCGACCCGUCUUGAAACACGGACCAAGGAGUCUAACAUACAUGCAAGUGUUUGGGUGGAAAACCCAUGCGCGAAAUGAAAGUGAAAGUUAAGAACCCUCAAGGGUGCAUUGACGCCCGGCCCUGAGCAAUUUGCGACGGAGCUGCGGUAGAGCAUGCAUGUUGGGACCCGAAAGAUGGUGAACUAUGCCUGAAUAGGGUGAAGCCAGAGGAAACUCUGGUGGAAGCUCGCAGCGAUUCUGACGUGCAAAUCGAUCGUCAAAUUUGGGUAUAGGGGCGAAAGACUAAUCGAACCAUCUAGUAGCUGGUUCCCGCCGAAGUUUCCCUCAGGAUAGCAGACGCUCAUUUAUUCAGAUUUAUGUGGUAAAGCGAAUGAUUAGAGGCCUUGGGGUUGAAACAACCUUAACCUAUUCUCAAACUUUAAAUAUGUAAGAUGAGAUGGUUUCUUAACUGAACCGUUUCACGAUUGAAGAGCGUCUAGUGGGCCAUUUUUGGUAAGCAGAACUGGCGAUGCGGGAUGAACCGAACGUGAGGUUAAGGUGCCGGAAUCUACGCUCAUCAGACACCACAAAAGGUGUUAGUUCAUCUAGACAGCAGGACGGUGGCCAUGGAAGUCGGAAUCCGCUAAGGAGUGUGUAACAACUCACCUGCCGAAUGAACUAGCCCUGAAAAUGGAUGGCGCUUAAGCGUAGUACCCAUACCUCACCGUCAAUGCAUUAGCGAAGCGUUGACGAGUAGGCGGGCGUGGAGGUCAUGCUUAGAAGGCUGG
rnacentral:rRNA from 1 species